ACGCCGCCCAACCCACGCGCCGUCGUCCACCGCCAGCGGCGGGUGGUGCCGCAGUACGGCAGUACUACCCGCCGAUGUACCCCGGCUACCCUACCGUACCCGGCGUUCCGCCCGCGCCCGAGCACGCGCCGCAUCAACAUCAAUAAACAGCCAGCCGGACCGCCCGAUACGGAACCGAGAAGAUACCUCUCCAUUGUAGAUUAUAAAUGCAACCCGGUGGAAUUAAUUGUGCUGUUUCAAGCGAUGACGUCACUACCGAAGGGGGGGACGCGUGCAAGCAAUGACGUCACUAUAACUAUAUGUUAGUCUAAAGCGAAAUACCGAAAGGGGGGGGGGACGCUUGCAAGCAAUGACGUCACUAUAACUAUAUGUUACUCUAAAACGUGAUAGCGGGCACUGGGAAGCGUGUAAGCGAUGACGUCACUAUAACUAUGUUACUCUAAAGCGAAAUACCGAAGGGAGGACACGUGCAAGCAAUGACGUCACUAUAUGUUACUCUAAAGCGAGAUAACGGACGGUGGGAAGCGUGUAAGCGAUGACGUCACUAAAACUAUGUUACAUUAAAGCGAAAUACCGUAGGGGGGACGCGUGCAAGCAAUGACGUCACUAUAACUAUAUUUUACUCUAAAGCGAGAUAGCGGACGCGGGCAAGCGUGCAAGCGAUGACGUCACUAUAACGGCCACAGUUAAUUCCACUGAGUUCUAAUAUCGUAUAAGAAAAACGGUUUCGGCGAACUAAACGCCCACAAUAAAUAAACGCAGCACUGUGAAAUAGAGUCCCGAACUAGUUUUUUUUUAUGUUUUUUAUAAUACUUUUUGCAGAUAUUUAACAUAUCAUAAUUUUAUUUCUUGUGGGUAAGUUACGAUGAUAUUGUCAAAGUUGUAGAGAUUAUUUUCGAUAUGUGUUACGCUUCCCAACGAUAUAUAUAUUUCACGGCCGUGUGGUAUAUUCUUGUUUAUUUUUUUUUUGUCGCACUUGUGUUAUUUCACGUGUCUCCAUCGUUUGUGCAUAUUGGAUUAUUGUAUAAUUCUGUGUCCCGAUAUUUACCAUUGACGUGCUAGUUUGUCCAGGUUUUAACUAUAGAAUGCCACACUGCCUAAAACGAUGUUAACAAAAGAGAUCCGACGGAGCUGUAGAGUGAGACAAAGCGAAACAAUGAAAGCAUAACGAAAGUGACAGAGAUACUUCGACCGCUGCCGAGGAUUCGAGGUAAAUCCACUGUAUCGAGUGACUUAGCUUAUUACACUAUGAGUGUACACAAUUGGGUACAGCUUGUAUAGUCUCAGCUAUCGAAUGUGGAGAACGUUUUUUGCAAUUCUAUACACCUACGAUGCACGCAACGAAUUAUCUUGUGAAGAGAAAAAGACAGUCGAGCAAUAGCGGCCUAACGGAAAAUAUCGUUCUUGAGAAUGAUAUUUCCGGAUUGGCUGCUAUUGGUCGACAAUAUGUAUCAUUAUGUCUUCACGAGAUAUUUUGUCGUGUAUCUUAGGCUGGCGUAAGACUAGUUAUCAUUCUGGCUCAUACAAAUUUAAUGUUACAAACGACAAUACAGCAAAAUGUCUGUUAGUCUUAAAACACAAAUCUUUCUGUCAAUUAGUAUUUUCAUUCCGUCAAAAUUAAUAAUAAUAAUUAAAAUGUAAAAGGCAAUUUUUAAAAUUAAUCAUUAAUUAAUUCUUAUGAUGAAUCUUUGCCACGUUAAAUAUUUGCACGAAAUUGCAUUACUUAUUGCAAAUUUCACUUUUAGAUGUAAGAAAUAAAUGCAAAAUGUACUAAAAAUAUAAAAAUGUUUUGAGGGAAUAUGAAUAUUAGAUUUGUAUGGACUAUAGAGAUUUAUUAAUAAUACCUACUAAAACUGUUGCGACAGCGACAGUAAUUAUAUGCUUUGGUGGUAUACGUUUGGUCGUAAAAACAGUUAUGGUACCAAUUUUUACAAUAAUGACGAAUAUGGUAAUAUUACUCUGGAGAUCUGGGAUCUCCAAAGAAGGCAUUGAUGCCGUAAACUUGGACUAAGUAGUUUAAAUCCAUAAAAAAAUCUGAUUUGGAAUAAAAAAUGUGUUUGCUAUUGGUUAAAAAAGCACGUUCUUGUUAAGUUAUUAAAAUAGAAAAUAUUGUUUUGUAACAAAAAAUUGUAAAAUUUAUAAAAAUCAAAUCCAACCAUGCAGCAUUUUAGACUGCCCAAUCAACGGGUGGUUAGGGCACCGAAGUUAUAAUUGAUGCGUGUGAAGCAUCUAUAUAUAAUUUACAGUUCAACUUCAACUUUGCAUAUUCGCUCAGCGAAAAAUCUCUUAAAAUAAAGAAAAAAAAACACUUCAGGUUUACUACGACCAAACGUAUAUUUAUGUAUUCGGGUCCACUCCACGCGACUUCACGAGUGCAGAAUCAAUUUUUUUUUUUGUUUUAGAUAUUUUUAUUUCGUUGUCCCAAUGGUACGUUCCUAUUGGGACACCAAAAUACCAAGAUUACUUGUAAGCAUAAGCGAGCUCUCCGGUUUUUUGAAAUCUUGCUCCACGUUCGACUUUCAUUAAAUUGUAAAUUAUGUUUAGUUGUAAGUUAGGUGUCGUCGAUUAGGAGAUGUCGUCGCGGCCUCUCUUGACAGCUCAUUUAGUUACUAACAUUCGCCGAACGUACUUUAGCACCGUAACUUAGAAUUAUAUUAUAUAUACUUAUAUUAAAUAAUAACAAUCUUUUUUGGUAAAUAAUAUUAGACGUAAUUUCGAGUAUCGGACAAAGGCAAUGUGGAGAGUACAUUCCCUGAAAAUUGUUCUUACAGUAUAGGAGCGGAAACGACACCCGUCGUUCGGUAACGGGGACUCCCGACUAAUUGUAUUAUUAUUAAGAUAUAAAGUGUAUGUUGAUUGA
rnacentral:lncRNA from 1 species